rnacentral:lncRNA from 1 species
AUAACAUAGAUUUUUAACUAGUAUUUAUAAAUCAUACAACGAAGAACACAUGAUUUUGAUAAUUAUUUUAAAAUCAAUGAUUGAAUAACAUAUGAUUUUUGUUUGGAUUUCCAAAUCCAUCAAAAUCAAUGAUCCAAUAACCCCCUCUUAGCUAUUUUAAGUUGGACAAUAUAUUUCCUUCAUGUCUAUUAGCGAAACAAAAAAGGGCCUGUCCGCGAGAUAAUGGCUGCAAUUGCAGCGAUCAAAAAGUUGCUUUACAUCUCCUUCAUAUCUUGUUCAUCUCUUUUGCAUCUCUCUUAAAAUCUAUUAAUGCGAUUAAAAUUUUAAGAAUUUGGAAUUGCUGGAUUCAACAGCGACAUAACCCAUCCUUUUAAUUUAAGGUUGGGACUAUUGCUUUUUAUGUAACCGAUCUACAAUUCCAAAUUAAAUCACCAUUGUUAGAUAUUUAGAGAUCUGCAUAUUCUCUCUCAUGUAUAGCAUAACCCAGAUUCAAAAAAUCUAUAUAUACAUUUUUGAAGUACAUUUUGUACUAAAAUCUAUUUAAG